GACGAACGCUGGCGGCGUGCUUAACACAUGCAAGUCGAACGGAAAGGCCCUGCUUUUGCGGGGUGCUCGAGUGGCGAACGGGUGAGUAACACGUGAGUAACCUGCCCUUGACUUUGGGAUAACUUCAGGAAACUGGGGCUAAUACCGGAUAGGAGCUCCUGCUGCAUGGUGGGGGUUGGAAAGUUUCGGCGGUUGGGGAUGGACUCGCGGCUUAUCAGCUUGUUGGUGGGGUAGUGGCUUACCAAGGCUUUGACGGGUAGCCGGCCUGAGAGUGUGACCGGCCACAUUGGGACUGGGAUACGGCCCAGACUCCUACGGGAGGCAGCAGUGGGGAAUAGUGCACAAUGGGCGGAAGCCUGAUGCAGCAACGCCGCGUGCGGGAUGACUGCCUUCGGGUUGUAAACCGCUUUCGCCUGUGACGAAGCGUGAGUGACGGUAAUGGGUAAAGAAGCACCGGCUAACUACGUG
rnacentral:rRNA from 1 species